rnacentral:tRNA from 1 species
GCACUGGUGGUUCCCUGGUAGAAUUCACGCCUUCCAUGUGGGAUACCUGGGUUCGAUUCCCAGACAAUGCA